rnacentral:rRNA from 1 species
AAGGGUGGCAUCACUUUUACAUUAAAGGCUACGGUACGAGAUGACUAUGCGUCCCAUUAGUUAGUUGGUAAGGUAACGGCUUACCAAGGCAGCGAUGGGUAGGGGCCCUGAGAGGGGGAUCCCCCACACUGGUACUGAGACACGGACCAGACUCCUACGGGAGGCAGCAGUGAGGAAUAUUGGACAAUGGGCGGGAGCCUGAUCCAGCCAUGCCGCGUGCAGGAAGACGGUCCUAUGGAUUGUAAACUGCUUUUGUACGGGAAGAACAAGGGGCACGUGUGCCCCUCUGACGGUACCGUAAGAAUAAGGAUCGGCUAACUCCGUGCCAGCAGCCGCGGUAAUACGGAGGAUCCGAGCGUUAUCCGGAAUCAUUGGGUUUAAAGGGUCCGUAGGCGGGCCAUUAAGUCAGGGGUGAAAGUCUGCGGCUCAACCGUAGAAUUGCCCUUGAUACUGGUGGUCUUGAGUUAUGGUGAAGUAACUAGAAUAUGUAGUGUAGCGGUGAAAUGCAUAGAUAUUACAUAGAAUACCGAUUGCGAAGGCAGGUUACUAACCAUAUACUGACGCUGAUGGACGAAAGCGUGGGGAGCGAACAGGAUUAGAUACCCUGGUAGUCCACGCCGUAAACGAUGGAUACUAGCUGUCCGGAUGCAAAUCUGGGCGGCCAAGCGAA